UUCGGUUCACCGAGAAAUGGGAGUGGCGAACGGGUGAGUAACACGUGGGUAACCUACCCAUCAGCGGGGGAUAACACUUGGAAACAGGUGCUAAUACCGCAUAAUUCUUUUCUUCGCCUGGAGGGAAGAUGAAAGACGCUUUUGCGUCACUGAUGGAUGGACCCGCGCUGCAUUAGCUAGUUGGUGGGGUAACGGCUCACCAAGGCCACGAUGCAUAGCCGACCUGAGAGGGUGAACGGCCACACUGGGACUGAGACACGGCCCAGACUCCUACGGGAGGCAGCAGUAGGGAAUCUUCGGCAAUGGACGGAAGUCUGACCGAGCAACGCCGCGUGAGUGAAGAAGGUUUUCGGAUCGUAAAACUCUGUUGUUAGAGAAGAAUAAGGAUGAGAGUAGAAUGUUCAUCCCUUGACGGUAUCUAACCAGAAAGCCACGGCUAACUACGUGCCAGCAGCCGCGGUAAUACGUAGGUGGCAAGCGUUGUCCGGAUUUAUUGGGCGUAAAGCGAGCGCAGGCGGUUUCUUAAGUCUGAUGUGAAAGCCCCCGGCUUAACCGGGGAGGGUCAUUGGAAACUGGGAGACUUGAGUGCAGAAGAGGAGAGUGGAAUUCCAUGUGUAGCGGUGAAAUGCGUAGAUAUAUGGAGGAACACCAGUGGCGAAGGCGACUCUCUGGUCUGUAACUGACGCUGAG
rnacentral:rRNA from 1 species